rnacentral:misc_RNA from 1 species
UUGAAAAUUUAAUAAAAUACCCAAAAAGGAAAGUUAUUACAAAAUCACAAAAACCAGAAGUCUCAAUCUCACUCUCUUAACCAUCAUAACUGUUCCUCAAAGAACCAAAGGAAAUCUCUUCUCCUCACUGCCUACUUCAGCUCUCAAUAAAUGUUUGACCAAUUCCAAAAGGUCAAAACAUCUAAUAUGCUUCCAAAUCUAGAAAAACCCUAGCUUGAAUAUGAAUCCCGAUUCCGACUUUCAUUUGAUCUGUGCUAGGUAAAACCUCAGUUGUGUUUCACUUUACUGGAAAGUUUUGAACUUUCCCUGGAAACAAACAGAAAGCUGGAAUCUUGACUGUUUGAGAUUGGAGAAUGAGGCGGAGACCAAUGGACUUUCGAAGGCCGGUAAGGAGGCGGCUUUCGAAUGUGGUGUGGUGGACAAUUUGUGGUUUAGUGGUCUUGUUCUUUAUAAUCAUUUUCAGUAAAGAGAGUCAGAUUGAAUCCAGACCCAGCCAUGCGAAGGCAAGUUUCUCUUAUUUUGUUUUAUUUUGGUGCGGGAGGGUCAAUUGCGAGCCUGUGUUGGGUUUGGUUGCUGAUAAAACGCGUGGAAUUUCGAUCUUUGAUGUCUUGGAAUUUUUGGAUUUAGGAGUUGAGGGAACAAUGGCACUUAAUUGGGUUUGUGGUUGUGCUGUUUUUGGGCUUAUUAGAGAUUAAGCUUUAACGAAAUUAUAGCACUAUUAUGACUAGACAGUGACUUUACUAGCUGAAAAUUCUUGAGAUAUUGGAUUUAUCUUUAACAUUUAGAAUGGAACUGUAGUUUGAUCUGUGAUUUUGUUUGAGAUAGGUAGAGUUGCUAUAUCAUAUAGGGAUCAAAGAGUAGGAAUUAUAUAAUUGUUAUGAAUCGUUAACUUGCAAAUGGAUCUGAUUCCCUGAAUACAUUUAUUCUUAGGGUACACGAUGUACUUUCCAUUAUUUCCCUACUUAUUAUGGCGUUAAAUAGUGUUAUUAUUUAUUUUAUUCAUUAUGGUUAAAAAUCAAUUAAAUGUGGGAGAAGCAGUCCAUUGUAGUGAAUCUCUUCUUGAAGUCACCAUCUCAGAUCCGCCUGGUAUUUAUGAUUUUGGUUGUCAACUUGUUCAAUAGGAUCUUGCUAUAAUUCGUAUUUAUGCAAGUAAAUGCCUAAUUUUAAGCUUAAAUUGUAUGUUACAUUUGCUUCAAAAUUGGUUAUGUAAUUAGAGACACUGAAGUGUUAUGAAGUUAAUAUAAAUAACUCCAAUUUUGUGACUUUUUGGAGUAUAUUGUUAUGUUGAAGGAGGAUGGAAAAAUUUUGGGGAUAUGAUUGGAUCAUCCUGAUGAGUAAUCAUCUAUAGAAGAAUAUAUAGAAUCCUGCAAGGUGCAUUAGAGUAAUGGAGCUUGAAAAUGUUAAUCCAUAGGAGGUUUAUUUUUACAUUUGCUAAUGUGAAAUCAUUUAGCUUAAACAUUGUAACAAUGGUGCUUAGAUAUAUUCCAGAAAGGAGGUUCAGUCAACUUAAUUCAGACCAUAAAGAGAAAUGAAUACAUAGUUUGAUGGGUGAAGUUAUGAAACAAUAAUUUAUAAGUGGAUUAAAAGAGAAGUGAAGAAAGUUUUUGGGUCAGGAUGGUUGCACUAGUUCAAAUUGGGUAUAUAGGAUGGAAGAAAAUGAUAGGCAAUUUUUUAUGAGUACUGAGUACAAGGGCAGAUAAAGCAUAUAUUUGAAAAAGUUAAUGGCAUAAGUAGAUAAUAUCUGUGAAAGGUAGCUCUUGUUAUUUCUCUGUUUAAGCUUCCCACUUUCUGCAAAAACUCAAAUUCUAUUUCAACAUGAGGAACUUCAAUGUAAAGACAGAAAUCUUAUUUAGGCAUUUGGUAUGAGGUUAACAAGGGUUAAUUAUUGCUCUUGUAAUUUUUGACCCCUCUCACUAAUAUUGUUUGGAUACUUAAAGGGACUAGGUUAACUUUUUAGAGGUGUUAACCUUGGGUGGACAAAGUUAAUUACCCUCUUUAAAGGUUA